rnacentral:rRNA from 1 species
AUAUCAUUAAGCGGAGGAAAAGAAACUAACAAGGAUUCCCCUAGUAACGGCGAGUGAAGCGGGAAUAGCUCAAAUUUGGAAUCUGCAAGGGCUCCCCUUGCCGAAUUGUAAAUUAGAGAAGCGUUUUCGGCUUACAGGUUCAGCAUAAGUCGCCUGGAACGGUGCGUCAUAGAGGGUGAGAACCCCGUCUGUGGUUGAACAUUGUGGCCAUGUGAUACGCUUUCAACGAGUCGGGUUGUUUGGGAAUGCAGCCCAAAAUGGGUGGUGAAAUCUCAUCUAAAGCUAAAUACUGGCCAGAGACCGAUAGCGCACAAGUA